AUGUCCGGCUUCCAGAUCAACCCGCUCAAGGAGCCGCUCGGCUUCAUCAAGGUCCUCGAGUGGGUUGCUUCCAUCUUUGCUUUUGCCACCUGUGGAGGUUUUAAGGGCAAAACAGAAAUUUUAGUGCAUUGUCCUAAAGCUGCUGACAAUAAAACUGUUACAGCUAAUUUUGGUUACCCAUUCAGGUUGAAUCAGGCAUCUUUUCAGGCAGCUCCAGAAGUAAAUGUAUGUGAUAUCAAGUGGAAUGAAUAUGUUCUGAUCGGUGAUUACUCUUCCUCUGCACAAUUCUAUGUCACCUUUGCAGUCUUUGUCUUCCUGUACUGCAUUGCUGCUCUUCUGCUUUACGUUGGUUACACGAACCUGUAUCGAGAUAUUCGAAAACUUCCCAUGAUUGACUUUAUUAUUACUCUUGUUGUCACUUUUUUGUGGUUGGUGAGCACUUCAGCCUGGGCUAAAACUCUUACAGAUAUUAAAGUAGCUACCAGUCCCAAAAUUAUUCCAGAACUUGAGCCUUGCAGUAAGCAUCCAGGAGUGACCUGUUAUUUUGACUCUGUCACCAGUAUGGGAUCCCUAAAUGUCUCUGUGAUCUUUGGAUUUCUGAAUAUGAUACUUUGGGGAGGAAAUGCUUGGUUUGUGUACAAGGAGACCAGCUUACACAGUCCAUCAAACACUUCUGCACAUGGCCAAGGAGGUAUCCCACCUCCUGCUGCAAUGUAACUAAAGGGGGAAAUACACUUUGUAAAAUAUGUGUCUAUAUUAUGACCUGUUGACAACAUCUUGAGAAGCAAUUAUUUGUUUCUCUAAUAAAAGUAAUGGAUUUUUCAAUGAAUUGAUGGGUUUAAAAAUUUGCUGCCUUUUUACAUAAAGCUUGUGCCUUUCCUAGAAAUUUAAGAUGUAAAUGUAUUCUGUCAUGUAAAUUUGAAAGUUCAGGAGCCUAUUAUGAUACACAUUUUUUAAUGAACAAUAUUUUCUUCACUAAGUUCUUUGCCUUCUGAAGUGUUUA